UACGUAGGGACCAAGCGUUGUUCGGAUUUACUGGGCGUAAAGGGCGCGUAGGCGGCAAUUCAAGUCAUCUGUGAAAUCUCCGGGCUUAACUCGGAAUGGUCAGGUGAUACUGCUUUGCUAGAGUGCAGAAGGGGCAAUCGGAAUUCUUGGUGUAGCGGUGAAAUGCGUAGAUAUCAAGAGGAACACCUGAGGUGAAGACGGGUUGCUGGGCUGACACUGACGCUGGAGGCGCGAAAGCUAGGGGAGCAAACGGG
rnacentral:rRNA from 1 species